rnacentral:lncRNA from 1 species
UCAAAUAUUGAAAAUUAUCAAACACAAACAAAUAUCUCACUAUCCAAAACCCAAAUGCCCCUAAUAAAACUCUCACAGGAAUAAAUCACAUAAUUAUUUUUCUCACGGCCUGAACAAGAAACAAAAUGAUUGCACUCCUCAAAUAUGAUCAUGACCUGCGCCAAGUCCACCUCGAACUCCACGAUCUUGUAUCAACAUGCUGACUCGACGCCAAAUUGAAUAGCUGCUUGAUGGGAGAAAUUACGUUUUGCAAAAGAAAGAAAUGCCACUGAAUUACGAGGUGUGUUGGUGACUUUUGGAUCUGGUAAUCGUUAUGAUACUUCCUUCGUACACCACUUCUUUAAAGUUGUGAUGGAACUUCGCUAGCUGCUCGACAAGGUGGAGCAAUCAUCUCCAUCCACAAAAGUGACCUAAUUCUUUC